GUCGAGCGACGCAUACCGGAGGGGUAACCCACCGGUAUGACGGAGCGGCGAACGGGUGAGUAACACGUGAGUAACCUGUCCCACAGACCGGGACAGCCCAGGGAAACCUGGAUUAAUACCGGAUACCCUCGGGGGAUCGCAUGAUCUUUCGAGGAAAUGCCUUUGUGCUGUGGGAUGGACUCGCGACUUAUCAGCUAGUUGGUGGGGUAACGGCCUACCAAGGCGUCGACGAGUAGCUGGUCUGAGAGGACGAUCAGCCACACUGGGACUGAGACACGGCCCAGACUCCUACAGGAGGCAGCAGCAGGGAAUCUUGCGCAAUGGGCGAAAGCCUGACGCAGCAACGCCGCGUGGGGGAUGAAGGCCUUCGGGUUGUAAACCCCUUUCAGGAGGGAAGAAAUUGACGGUACCUCCAAAAGAAGCACCGGCCAACUACGUGCCAGCAGCCGCGGUAAUACGUAGGGUGCGAGCGUUAUCCGGAAUCAUUGGGCGUAAAGAGCUCGUAGGCGGUUCAGCAAGUCGGCUGUGAAAUUUCGAGGCUCAACCUCGAAACUGCAGUCGAAACUGCUGUGACUCGAGUCCGGUAGAGGAGAAUGGAAUUCCCGGUGUAGCGGUG
rnacentral:rRNA from 1 species